CGGCGGAGGUAGUAACACGUGGAUAACCUACCUAUAAGACUGGGAUAACUUCGGGAAACCGGAGCUAAUACCGGAUAAUAUAUUGAACCGCAUGGUUCAAUAGUGAAAGACGGUUUUGUUGUCACUUAUAGAUGGAUCCGCGCCGCAUUAGCUAGUUGGUAAGGUAACGGCUUACCAAGGCAGCGAUGCGUAGCCGACCUGAGAGGGUGAUCGGCCACACUGGAACUGAGACACGGUCCAGACUCCUACGGGAGGCAGCAGG
rnacentral:rRNA from 1 species